rnacentral:lncRNA from 1 species
UGUGACCUGAGAGGCAAGCUCGCUCACAAUCACCGCUGUUCCACAUUUACGACGUUUGGCUCCCUUGUAAAGGUCUUUGACCAAAGGCUGGGAAGUACACUCUGCAUUCACCGACCGAGUUAUUCGGCC